rnacentral:rRNA from 1 species
GAUGAACGCUGGCGGCGUGCCUAAUACAUGCAAGUCGAGCGAACAGACGAGGCGCUUGCUCCUUUGACGUUAGCGGCGGACGGGUGAGUAACACGUGGGUAACCUACCUAUAAGACUGGGAUAACUUCGGGAAACCGGCGCUAACACCGGAUAAUAUUUCGCACCGCAUGGUUCGAUAGUGAAAGAUGGCUUUGCUAUCACUUAUAGAUGGACCUGCGCCGUAUUAGCUAGUUGGUAAGGUAACGGCUUUCCAAGGCAACGAUACGUAGCCGACCUGAGAGGGUGGUCGGCCACACUGGAGCUGAGACGCGGACCAGACUCCUACGGGAGGCAGCAGUAGGGAACCGUCCGCAAUGGGCGAAAGCCUGACGGAGCAAGGCCGAGUGAGUGAUGAAGGUCUUCGGUGCGUAAAACUCGGUUAUUAGGGAAGAACAAACGUGUAAGUAACCGUGCACGUCGUGACGGUACCGAAUCAGAAAGCCACGGCUAACUACGUG